UUAGCUGUUAAUAGCUUUCACUCAACGGUUAACAGCUUUCACUCAACUGGCAAUGGUUUCGUUAAAAUUCCCGGUUAGCAAGCGAUCCUGCUAAUCAGCUAGGGACACUUUUGGUUUCAGAAUCGAGACGACGACGUGCACUUUUCCACCGGCCACCACAACAACCACCACCAAUACUCAGUUUUUUUGGCACUGUACACCAGCGGAAUAUCAAUACUCAGCAAGUUUCCUCAAAACACCAAUCCUCAGUUUUUUUUGGCAUUGCACAAAUACAAACGAGGCGUUGCACACCAACGGACACAUAUCACCAAUUCUUGUUGCACUUCCAACCAACGCAGGCAAACCAGGUACGUGAUUGCUUUAAUAUCACUUGGAUACCAAUCGUUUUUUAAAAAAAAAAAAAAAAAAAAAAAAAAAAAGGAUAUAUAUAAAAA